GCCGGUGUAGCUCAGUGGUAGAGCAGCUGUUUCGUAAACAGCAGGUCGCGGGUUCGAUUCCCAUCACCGGCU
rnacentral:tRNA from 1 species